rnacentral:rRNA from 1 species
UACAGAGGUUGCAAGCGUUAAUCGGAUUUACUGGGCGUAAAGGGUGUGUAGGUGGCUUGACAAGUCGGUUGUGAAAUCCCCGGGCUCAACCUGGGAAUUGCUUCCGAUACUGUCAGGCUAGAGUACGGUAGAGGGCGGUGGAAUUUCCGGUGUAGCGGUGAAAUGCGUAGAUAUCGGAAGGAACACCAAUGGCGAAGGCAGCCGCCUGGGCCUGUACUGACACUGAGACACGAAAGCGUGGGGAUCAAACAGG